GUCGAGAAUCUUUCACAAUGGGGGCAACCCUGAUGGAGCGACGCCGCGUGGAGGAUAAGGUCUUCGGAUUGUAAACUCCUGUCAUGCGUGAACAAGGUUGCUUGGUUAAUACCUGGGCAAAUUGAUGGUAACGCAAGAGGAAGAGACGGCUAACUCUGUGCCAGCAGCCGCGGUAAUACAGAGGUCUCAAGCGUUGUUCGGAAUCACUGGGCGUAAAGGGUGCGUAGGUGGCGUGGUAAGUCAGAUGUGAAAGCCCGGGGCUCAACCUCGGAACUGCAUCCGAUACUGCCAUGCUAGAGUACUGGAGGGGUGACUAGAAUUCUCGGUGUAGCAGUGAAAUGCGUAGAUAUCGAGAGGAAUACCAAAGGCGUAGGCAGGUCACUGGACAGUUACUGACACUGAGGCACGAAGGCCAGGGGAGCGAACGGGAUUAGAAACCCUUGUAGUCC
rnacentral:rRNA from 1 species